rnacentral:lncRNA from 1 species
CACGCAUGGACGAUUCGUAGCGGACAGUGCCAUCCGGGGGGUUCGGGAGGUUGUACCCCCUGACAUCAACACAUUUAUUUAAAAAUUCUUGUCCAUGUUGACGCUCGGCAAAAACAUUGUAAACAGCUCAGGCAUUUCUAGCUGCUCGGCUUGCUGUUGGGUUAGCUCAGGCAGCUGAAGUAGCAGCCUUUCAAAAGAGAAGAAUUUUCUCUUUCCUCUAAAGUACUGCAACAGUUGAGUCUGGUUAUAGGUACCAUCCAUUCAAGACCUUGCCAUAAUUUAAUCGGCGCAUAAUACAAGAAGCAUCCGGUCUCCAUAAUUUAAUCGGCGCAUGCGCGUUUCGAACUUGGAACCACUUGGUUGGAAGUAAGGUCCAAUUUCACUGAGCCACCACCUCAAUGGCCUGCUGCCGUUUUUUAGUUGGAAGAACUCUCACUAAAAUAGUGCAAACACUCCAUAUCUAGCAUCCCAAAUAAGCUAAUACCUAAGAAACUUAAAUUUCCGCUAGCUUUGACUAAUUGGUAAUCUACCUUAGAGAUAAUAUCUUUUUUCUUCAAGAAUUUUUUAUUUUGUUUAUUUUCUUUUAGAAGAAAGAUGAUCUGAGUAAACAAGCCGAGCAUGUGGCGAACGGCCGCACAUCCAUAGAAUUUAGUCCCCUGCAUAUCUUCGCAGGGCCUGCCAUUUUUAUAU